rnacentral:rRNA from 1 species
GAAGAACCUUACCUACUCUUGACAUCCAGAGAACUUAGCAGAGAUGCUUUGGUGCCUUCGGGAACUCUGAGACAGGUGCUGCAUGGCUGUCGUCAGCUCGUGUUGUGAAAUGUUGGGUUAAGUCCCGCAACGAGCGCAACCCUUAUCCUUUGUUGCCAGCGGUUCGGCCGGGAACUCAAAGGAGACUGCCAGUGAUAAACUGGAGGAAGGUGGGGAUGACGUCAAGUCAUCAUGGCCCUUACGAGUAGGGCUACACACGUGCUACAAUGGCAUAUACAAAGAGAAGCGACCUCGCGAGAGCAAGCGGACCUCACAAAGUAUGUCGUAGUCCGGAUCGGAGUCUGCAACUCGACUCCGUGAAGUCGGAAUCGCUAGUAAUCGUAGAUCAGAAUGCUACGGUGAAUACGUUCCCGGGCCUUGUACACACCGCCCGUCACACCAUGGGAGUGGGUUGCAAAAGAAG